AUUGAACGCUGGCGGCAGGCCUAACACAUGCAAGUCGAGCGAGCGGCGGACGGGUGAGUAAUGUCUGGGAAACUGCCUGAUGGAGGGGGAUAACUACUGGAAACGGUAGCUAAUACCGCAUACCAUCAGAUGUGCCCAGAGGGGAUUAGCUAGUAGGUGGGGUAACGGCUCACCUAGGCGACGAUCCCUAGCUGGUCUGAGAGGAUGAGCAGCCACACGGGAACGGAGACACGGUCCAGACUCCUACGGUAGGCAGCAGGGGGGAAUAUGGCACAAUGGGCGCAAGCCUGACGCAGCCAGGCCGCGUGUGUGAAGAAGGCCUUCGGGUUGUAAAGCACUUCCAGCGGGGAGGCGUUACCCGCAGAAGAAGCACCGGCUAACUCCGUGCCAGCAGCCGCGGUAAUAC
rnacentral:rRNA from 1 species